UUCCAAUCGAGCCCGGAGAUAGCUGGUUCUCCCCGAAAUAGCUUUAGGGCUAGCCUCAAGGUGAGAGAUACGGAGGUAGAGCACUGAAUGUCCUAGGGGGUAUUGCACCUACCGAAGACUAUCAAACGCCGAAUGCCGUCAUCUUAUACUUGGGAGUCAGACUGUGGGUGAUAAGAUUCAUAGUCGAAAGGGCAACAGCCCAGAUCGUCAGCUAAGGUCCCUAAAUGUAAGUUAAGUGGUAAAGGAUGUGGGAUU
rnacentral:rRNA from 1 species